rnacentral:rRNA from 1 species
GAUGAACGCUAGCGGCAGGCUUAAUACAUGCAAGUCGAGGGGCAUCAAGGUACACGAAAGUGUAUUGUUGGCGACCGGCGGACGGGUGAGUAAUAGGUAGGUAACCUACCUCAUACUGAGGCAUAGCUGGGAGAAAUUCCAGGUAAUUCCUCAUGAGGUUAUAUGACACAUGUGAUAUAAUCAAAGGUAUCGCAAGGUACUGGUAUGAGAUGGGCUUACUGACCAUUAGCUAGUUGGUGAGAUAAGAGCUCACCAAGGCGAAGAUGGUUAGGGGUUUGAGAGAGAGAUCCCCCAAUUGGAACUGAGAUACGGUCCAGACUCCUACGGGAGCAGCAGUAGGGAAUAUGGGCAAUGGGCGGAAGCCUGACCCAGCCAUGCCGCGUGAAGGAAGACGGCCUUAUGGGUUGUAAACUUCUUUACUAUGCGACUAACUAGAUUUACGAGUAAUAAUUACUAAUAGAAUAGUAGUACAUAGCAAAAAAGCAACCGGUA